CUCCCAAACCCCUGUGACAUACCUUAUGUUGCCUCGGCGGAUCAGCCCGCGCCCCGUAAAAAGGGACGGCCCGCCGCAGGAACCUUAAACUCUGUUUUUAGUGGAACUUCUGAGUAUAAAAAACAAAUAAAUCAAAACUUUCAACAACGGAUCUCUUGGUUCUGGCAUCGAUGAAGAACGCAGCAAAAUGCGAUAAGUAAUGUGAAUUGCAGAAUUCAGUGAAUCAUCGAAUCUUUGAACGCACAUUGCGCCCGCCAGUAUUCUGGCGGGCAUGCCUGUUCGAGCGUCAUUUCAACCCUCAAGCCCAGCUUGGUGUUGGGAGCUGCAGUCCUGCUGCACUCCCCAAAUACAUUGGCGGUCACGUCGAGCUUCCAUAGCGUAGUAAUUUACAUAUCGUUACUGGUAAUCGUCGCGGCCACGCCGUUAAACCCCAACUUCUGAAUGUUGACCUCGGAUCAGGUAGGAAUACCCGCUGAACUUAAGCAUAUC
rnacentral:rRNA from 1 species